rnacentral:rRNA from 1 species
UACGUUGGGGGCGAGCGUUAUCCGGAUUUAUUGGGCGUAAAGCGUGUGUAGGCGGUUUAUUAAGUCUAAGAUUAAAGCCCGAGGCUUAACCUCGGUUCGUUUUAGAAACUGGUAGACUUGAGUAUGGUAGAGGCAAGUGGAAUUUCUAGUGUAGCGGUAAAAUGCGUAGAUAUUAGAAGGAACACCAGUGGCGAAGGCGGCUUGCUGGGCCAUCACUGACGCUGAGACACGAAAGCGUGGGGAGCAAAUAGG